AACUGCGAGUGAAGCGGGAAAAGCUCAAAUUUAAAAUCUGGUGGUCUUUGGCCACCCGAGUUGUAAUUUAGAGAAGCGUCUUCCGCGCUGGACCGUGCACAAGUCUCCUGGAAUGGAGCGUCAUAGAGGGUGAGAAUCCCGUCUUUGGCACGGACYCUUGGUGCUUUUGUGAUGCGCUCUCGAAGAGUCGAGUUGUUUGGGAAUGCAGCUCAAAAUGGGUGGUGAACUCCAUCUAAAGCUAAAUAUUGGCGAGAGACCGAUAGCGAACAAGUACCGUGAGGGAAAGAUGAAAAGCACUUUGGAAAGAGAGUGAAACAGUACGUGAAAUUGUUGAAAGGGAAACGCUUGAAGUCAGUCGCGUCGACCGAGACUCAGCCUUGCCUUGGCUUGGUGUACUUCUCGGCACGACGGGUCAGCAUCAAUYUUGCCCCUCGGAUAAUGGCAGGGGAAAGGUGGCACCUUUACGGGUGUGUUAUAGUCUCCUGUCGCAUGUGAGGGUUGGGAUUGAGGAACUCAGCGCGCACCUCGGUGUCGGGGCUUCG
rnacentral:rRNA from 2 species